UACGUAGGGACCAAGCGUUGUUCGGAUUUACUGGGCGUAAAGGGCGCGUAGGCGGCAAUUCAAGUCAUCUGUGAAAUCUCCGGGCUUAACCCGGAAUGGUCAGAUGAUACUGCUUUGCUAGAGUGCGGAAGGGGCAAUCGGAAUUCUCGGUGUAGCGGUGAAAUGCGUAGAUAUCGAGAGGAACACCUGAGGUGAAGACGGGUUGCUGGGCCGACACUGACGCUGACAGCGCGAAAGCCAGGGGAGCAAACGGG
rnacentral:rRNA from 1 species